AGCAGCAAAGAUGAAUCGAUAAUUGUCAACUACUAAAUUAAUCUCUUACUAUUUUAAUAAUCGAUUAAUCGGUUUGAGUUAUUUCUUUAUGAAAAAUAGCAUCCUGUUGAUAACUUUACUGAUAAAGGAAACUGGCACAAAUCACUGAAUGUAAUGGACUUUAGGUGUGAAAUGUUAUACGUCUCAGCUUUUUAUUGCCCUGUCGUUGUGUCUCUGUAGCUUCGUCCCCUCCUUGUGGUCUGUGAACUGAGGCGAUGGAGAGCCCGUCGUCCAUAGUGAGGCGGCGAGCCUGGAUCAACAGCAGCCGACAGUGGUCCAAUUUGGAGCUGGACCCCGAGGGGCCGCGGUGCGACCCCCCCUCUGCCUCUAUAGCAGACGACGAUGUCUUUUCUGACGGAUGCUUCACUGGAAAGAUUGAGAACUGGCUCCUGGGUUGUGGGACGGAGGCCUGCUCAGAGAAGACCGGUCGGCUGAGUUUCGGUGAGUAUGAACUGGAACAAAGUCAUGAUUAACAAUGUGUCCUUUACAAACAAAACUAACACUUUUAUUUAGUCUUAAACUCUGUCCACACUCGCACAUGCACACACGCACACGCACAUACACACACUCAGUGUUACUGCAAUAAAAACAUACUCAUAGUAAAAGUCCUGCUUUGAAAAUGUCACUUAAAAGUACUAUCAUCAAAGUGUAAAGUAAUACAGCCUGUCAGUGUUAUAUGCUAACAUUGUAUUAUUAUUAUUAUUGUUAUUAUUAUUAUUAUUAUUAGCAUUUUACCGUUGAAGCUGGUCAAGGUGGAGCGUAAUGAUUUAAUGAUUUUAUAUAGGCCUACUGUCGGGUUGUUUAACUAAGCUUGUAUGUUUUGUAUUUAAAAUUGUAUCUGGACUGUAGUGGAGUAGAAGUAUAUAAAGUAACAUUAAAGGUAAAUACAAGUAUUUCAAAUCUAUACUUAAGUAAGAGUAAUUGAGUAAUAUAGUGACUUUCCACUAAUGACACAUACAAGCCUUCAGUUCUUCAGUCAAUCAUGAAGACAUAAUGAAGACAUCACGUCAAACGAAAUGUGAAAUGACUUAAAGCAUCAACUGUGCGUCUUUUCAGAGUCUGUGCUGAAAGCCAGCAAGUUGGACGAUGAGCUCAGUCUUGGUGCUGAUGGUAAGUAAAGAGAGACACACACACACACACACACACACACACACACACACACACACACACACACACACACACACACACACACACACACACACACACACACACACACUUCUUUUUUUCUACUCAAGCUUACGUUUGUUCUAUUUGAAAUAGUGACUCCUUUGUACUGAGUCAGAGAAAUGUCCAAUGUUACGCAGUAGUACUGUACCUCAGCCAAGGAGGAUAUCUUUUGAGAAGGGGAAGUAUAGUUGUCAAAAGUCGCCGAUUGAUAAUCUAUUUCUUGUUUUUAUAUGAAUUGUAACCACUUAUACACAUACAGUAUUAACAUUAGCAAACAAUUAUAACUUUUCAAGGUCAAACCACUAAACAAUGUAAGUAGUAAGGUGUAACAGCAGAGUACAGAAUUGCAUAAUGCCUUCAAUUUGUCACUUAGUGCCUUUCAGUUUAAGAUAUAUCUAGUGGUAACAAAAAACAAACAAUACCUGUAACAUGACACCCCUAUGUACUAAACAUGACAUUUAAAUCCAUCAUUUAGAUUUGAAUCCCACAUUCAAAUGCACGUCAACUUAUUCCUUAUUUAUUUUAAAAUGAGUUCUUUUUUUGUUUUCAGCUUCUUUGUUAAAUGUUGGAGAGAUUACAUCUAAAGCUGGGUGAGUAGCAAAUGUAAUCUCACAGUGGCAGUAACAAUGAACUAACACGAAACGAGGAAUGUCAAGCUAUUGGUGAAUAUUAGUUCAUAUGAAUCCAUGUUGCUUUAAUCAUUAUACUGACAGAGGUCAUUCUGUAUUUAAAAAAAAACAACUCAAUUCCCUUUUUUUCCCACACAAUGAGCUACACUUCCAGUCCUACACACAUGUUUAUCUCCCCCACCCCACCACACUUACAGCCGAGUCUCUGCGAUGAUAUUUGUAGAGUCUAGGUUACACCCCUGCAUGCUGAGGCUGUUUCUAUUGAAAUUAUUCAGAGGUGUAAAUGAGAUGGUGCUAAUUUAUCACUAAAAUAUGGUCCAUUAUACGGACACUUG
ensembl:lncRNA